GCGAGAGCGAGAGAGAGAGAGAGAGAGAGAGAGAGAGAGGAGUGAUGAUGGAGAACCUCGCCUUGAGGAGGCUCAAAUCGAUCGCUGGCCAUCUCCAACCAUCGGAAACCCUAACCGGAGAUCUCUUCCUCAAUCGGAAUCCAGUGAGUUCGUCGGAGAAAAUCGAUGAUGCCUCUUCUCCGAUCAUUAUCGGAGGCAUGGUAUUGGAUAUCAAUGCUGUUCCUAAUGCUCACCCGGUUCCUGGAACCACUACGCCUGGCAAGUAAAUUGGAUAUCUUGCAAUGGUUUGUUGUUCAGGUUAAGUAUGUCAGUGGAGGAGUGGCUAGGAAUGUUGCUGAAUGCAUGUCAAAGCUUGGGACAAGACCUUUUAUUAUUAGUGUUGUCGGACUUGAUAUGGCUGGGGAAUUGCUGUUAAAGUACUGGAAAUCUGCUGGUUUUUCCACAGAAGGAAUUCUCAAGCUUCAAGGCAUGGCAACUCCUGUUGUGUCUAAUGUAUAUGACUGUAGUGGUGAACUGGCUGCAGCUGUGGCCAGCGUUGAAGCAGUUGAAACAUUUGUGACUCCACAAUGGAUUCAAAAAUUUAGUCACAAAAUACGUUCCGCGCCAGUGGUGAUGGUUGAUGCAAAUUUGAAUCCUCAAGCACUUAAAGCUGCCUGUCAACUGGCAGGAGAAUUUAGCAUUCCUCUAUGGUUUGAACCAGUCUCAAUAACCAAGUCUGUGAGAAUUUCAUCUAUCAUAAAUUAUAUAACAUUUGCUUCCCCUAAUGUCAAUGAGCUUAUUUCUAUGGCAAAUGCUUUAUCAUUAAACAAGAAGUUUGAUUUCAUAACGAAAAGUUUCCAGUCCAUAGAAACUUUAUUCCAAAUGCUAAAACCAGCAAUAUGUGUUUUGCUGGAGAAGGGUGUCAAAGUGCUCAUCGUGACUCUGGGCUCAUAUGGUGUAUUCGUAUGCUGUACAGGAGGUCCAGAUUUUAUCAAUGAAGCAUUGAAUCGAAGAACAGCUAGCUGUUCCAGUAGGCAGCUAUAUGAACUUGUGAAUAAUAACUCUCUUGCAAACCGGUUUCAUUGUUACACAGAGACAGGAAUGAAGUCAUCUUAUUUCGCCUAUCAUUUUCCAUCUCUUCCUGCAUCAGUGGUAAGCCUAACGGGUGCAGGAGACUGCUUGGUUGGUGGAAUCCUCGCAUCGAUCUGUGCUGGAAUAGAUGUGAUGCAAAGUAUCGCUGUGGGCAUAACGGUAGCAAAAGCAGCUGUGGAAGCCGAAUCAAACGUGCCCGCAAAAUAUAGCUUGACAACAAUUAAAGAUGAAGCAGUGAAAAUCUUGUCAUCUGCCCAACCACUUGCGUUUUGACAAAGAGGCAGUGUAUGGUUUGUAGGACAGCGCGAAUCUUGUCUGAUAAUAAGUGUCAUGUUUAAGAGUGCAAGCACAAGCAUUGCAUUGCCUUGACCUUGGAAGUAGGAAUAUGACGAAAACAAAUGGCCAAUGCAACCGGUACCUACCCAGACCUGUGUCCAUUUAGCACAUGCUACAAGGCAGAUCAUUGUGGCUGAUUAUGACAUCCAUAGAGUGCAGUCUGAAAUUAUGCACAGAUCACAUCUUGCUUUGUCAUAGUCUAAGAUGGCAUUUAUGUCUUUGGUUUUAUUCUGUUGGUAGUGUUCUUGUUUACAACGGUCUGAACGAAUAAUGGAACACUGCACCCAGAUCAGCUGUUCCAGAGUUAAAAAGUAACAUGGCUAAUUAAGACAGUUUGUGAUCA